rnacentral:siRNA from 1 species
CCGCCCUUGCUAGGUGUCACCUGC